rnacentral:rRNA from 1 species
UACGUAGGUGGCAAGCGUUGUCCGGAUUUAUUGGGCGUAAAGCGAGCGCAGGCGGUUCCUUAAGUCUGAUGUGAAAGCCCACGGCUCAACCGUGGAAGGUCAUUGGAAACUGGGGAACUUGAGUGCAGAAGAGGAGAGUGGAAUUCCAUGUGUAGCGGUGAAAUGCGUAGAUAUCAGGAGGAACACCAGUAGCGAAGGCGGUUCUCUGGGCCGGCACUGACGCUGAGGAGCGAAAGCGUGGGGAGCAAACAGGAUUAGAUA